CACGGGGGGAGCGAACGUUGUUCGGAAUCACUGGGCGUAAAGGGCGCGUAGGCGGCUUCGCAAGUGGAAGGUGAAAUCCCUCGGCUUAACCGAGGAACUGCCCUCCAACUGCGUUGCUUGAGGCCGGGAGAGGUGAGUGGAAUUCCCAGUGUAGCGGUGAAAUGCGUAGAUAUUGGGAGGAACACCAGUGGCGAAGGCGGCUCACUGGACCGGUUCUGACGCUGAGGCGCGAAAGCGUGGGGAGCAAACGGG
rnacentral:rRNA from 1 species